UCCUUACGGGAGAAAGCAGGGGACCUUCGGCCCUUGCGCUAUCAGAUGAGCCUAGGUCGGAUUAGCUAGUUGGUGAGGUAAUGGCUCACCAAGGCGACGAUCCGUAACUGGUCUGAGAGGAUGAUCAGUCACACUGGAACUGAGACACGGUCCAGACUCCUACGGGAGGCAGCAGUGGGGAAUAUUGGACAAUGGGCGAAAGCCUGAUCCAGCCAUGCCGCGUGUGUGAAGAAGGUCUUCGGAUUGUAAAGCACUUUAAGUUGGGAGGAAGGGCAGUAAGCUAAUACCUUGCUGUUUUGACGUUACCGACAGAAUA
rnacentral:rRNA from 1 species